CUUGAUCGACCCGAGCCAGAGCGGAGUCUCCCGGUCCUGGCCGUAGGCGGCCAGCAGCGCCUGCGCCUC
rfam:Streptosporangium subroseum strain CGMCC 4.2132 genome assembly, contig: Ga0079903_1090